GGGGCUGUAACGGUUUCGACGUUUUAACGAAAGUCGUGUUGUGAUUCAGGUCGAGAGUGAGCCUUCUCUCGUAAAUCAAAGACUCAAACUUAAAUUAGAUGCAAAUAACAUUGUACCUUUUGCUCGUAAGCAAGCUCUUGUAGCUGUUGCCUAAAAACCUCCUGUAGGUUCGAGCGUCUAAGCUGUGACUCCGUUAAUCAGCCUGGACUAAACCCCCAACGGAUGCGCUAACAAACUUUCUUCGAUGGGUGCGUUGGCUAAGACUUUCAUCGAAGCAUCCUGUUUCCGGGACAAUGGAUAACUCCCGCCUUGAGGAUUAGAGAGGCUAUACCUGUGAACGAACGAUACGUGAUUACUUAGGGCGGACACGGGUUCGACUCCCGUCAGCUCCAUUA
rnacentral:tmRNA from 1 species